CAUUAUCGUCAGCCUUGGGUUCAUGGUGUCCAGGAGGAGAUCCAGAAGCUGACUAACCGCCUGGAGAAAGCUGAGAAGGUGAUCAAGGAGGUGCCCAUCCUCAAUCAACAGAUUGAGUCACUAGAGGAACAGGUUAAAAGCCUCUCUGGCCAGGUGGAUGCUCUCAGAGUGAAGGUCGCUGACCUGGAGAUGGUCUGCUUCGAUUGAAAAGCAAAGGUCACGGGCUGGAGUGCAACUUGUAUGGCAGGAAGGAAGGAAGGAAGGAAGGAGUUCAACUUGUAGCUUUAUGUUUGUAGUGUAUCACGGGAAGUGUAGUAUUUUGUUUCUUUCUACACUUGUUUUCAAUUCACG